CCUCUCUCAGGACCACAACUGGAGAGUUUGCAGGACUCUACCAGUCUUGGCUACGGGAGGGAGAGUCGAGCAGAGGCCUACCCAUUCCAUUCUUAGCUUGGGCAGCGGCUAGCGAGUGGAAGGCAAUCUGCUGCAAGU